rnacentral:lncRNA from 14 species
GAAGGGCUCCUCGGUGCCGCCCCCGGCCGGCGCCGCCCCCCGCUCCCCGCAGAGCGCCCCCGCUCCCGGCGGGAGCAGCAGGUGGUGCCGGUGCAGCAGCGGCCCGGGACCUCGGCCGGGGGCUCCCGCGGGGGCCCUGCUCCCGCAGCGCCGGCCGUGGGGCUGAAGGUCCGGGACUGCUCGGGCUCGGCGGGCGGGGAGCCGGCGUGCACGGGUCGGGGUCUGCCGGCUCGGCCGAGUGCGCCGCGGGGUAGCCCAUGGCCGCGGCGGGGUAGCCCGUACCGGGGGCAGGUCUUGCGGGAGCGGGCCACGAUCAGCGGGGACGGCCCGGUUGAUCUCAGCCGCCCUCCUCCCGUUCCCGUGCCCGCGGUCCUACCUGGCUCCAGGGGCUGCGGGGCAGCGCUGGGACGCACACCGGGAUGCACAUUAGGGUUCACACCAGGAUGUACAUUAGGGUUCACACCGGGAUUCACACCGGGAUGUACAUUAGGAUUCACACCGGGAUUCACACCGGGAUGUACAUUAGCAUUCACACCGGGAUUCACACCGGGACGCACACCGGCAUUCACACCAGGAUGUACAUUAGGAUUCAUACUGGGACACACACCAGGACGCACACCGGGAUACACACUGGGAUUCACGCCGGGAUGCACACACACCCCCCCAGGGUCAAGCCACACACCACCACGGCCACGCUGCUCCCGGCCGAGGGCUCGGCCACGGUGACACAGUCCAGCGCAGUCACAACUCUCAACUAGUGCACAAAAACAUCCGAAAGGCAAAAAUUGCAGCCAGGCCCCAGCGUGGCUCGGACAGGCCUCUGCCAGAGUUUCCCACCCUCCAUUUGUGGCCGAGGCACUGGGACCCCCGGCCCUGCUCAGCACGGCCUGUGCCGUGGCAGUGGGACCCCCACAAUUGGGGUGCAGGGGCUGCACCCUGCCCGGGUGGGCUCCGGGGGUCUCCAUCCCCCCAUCCCCGGGCGGGGCCGGUGCCAAACCCGACGCCAGCCGGAGCGUUCGGCCGCACGAACGCGCGGCCCUGAGUUACGGCUUUAAUAAAACCAAGGAAAACAGUUUUAUCUCCCGUUCCCAGGGCGGUCGCCGGGCCCGGCAAAGGCUCCUGGGAGGUGUAGUCCGGCCCCACGCCGGGAGCCAUUUGGGGGAGCGCGGCCGGA